UACAGAGGGGGCAAGCGUUAUUCGGAAUUAUUGGGCGUAAAGGGCGCGUAGGCGGCCCUGCAAGUGUCGGGUGAAAUCCCUCGGCUUAACCGAGGAACUGCCCGUCAGACUGCAUGGCUCGAGACCGGGAGAGGUGAGUGGAAUUCCCAGUGUAGCGGUGAAAUGCGUAGAUAUUGGGAGGAACACCAGUGGCGAAGGCGACUCACUGGACCGGAACUGACGCUGAGGCGCGAAAGCGUGGGGAGCAAACAGG
rnacentral:rRNA from 1 species